rnacentral:misc_RNA from 1 species
AUGAUUCAUCCAAUAAGGAGUAGGAAGGAGUAGAUGUGGUGGCCCUACUUUUUACCAGAUGAUUAAAUUUAUUGUUUUACAAUAGUUAACCUUCAACAAUGUUAUUGUUAUUAUAUUUCAGUAAUUAGCGAAUUUGGCGAUUAUAAAUGUAUUAUGGUGUAGUGUAGUGUAGAGUGUUUUGCAAUGUGUUUUAACCUACAUUUACAUUAAUUUAUACAAACAUGGACAUCAGGGACAUACCAUCCACGUCUUCCUGUGAUCCUUUAUUUGAAGAUGAAAUUGAUCAGAGGACAAUACCACCCCCCAAAGUCAAGAGAUUCACGAAUGUUAUGUCCAUUAACAAUGCAGACAGUGACAGUGAAGAGGACACCCGUGAAAUUGUUGUUAAUUACACAGGAAGUUGCCCUCUUAUAUCGUCACAACGUAGAAGAGUCGAAACUAGUAAAGAAAAAGUACAAACUGGAAGUCUUAACGUUUUAUCAGCUAAGUAUGAGAGUUUGGAUUACGACACCUGCGAAAACCACCUACUUUUAGACGAAGAAAGAAAAAAGGGUUACAAAUUUAUAGUACAAAAAAGUAUAGCGAGGUGGUUUAUAUUUUUAUUGAUAGGAAUGUGCACAGCCCUAAUAGCUUGUGUCAUAGAUAUAUCCAUAGAAGAAUUAUCAACUAUUAAAUAUGCAUCUUUAAGCAAAAGUGUCGAUAAAUACGUCACCGAAGGUGAACUAUACAAGCCCUACGGGCUAUGGAUCCUCUACAAUAUCGUACCAGUCCUGAUAGGCUCGAUUUUGGUAGCCUACGGGGAACCCAUAGCUGCUGGCAGUGGGAUACCGCAAGUGAAGUGCUACCUCAACGGUGUGAUGGUGCCUAGAGUGGUACGGGUGAAGACUUUGGUGGUCAAAAGCAUCGGCGUCAUAUGUUCUGUGGUUGGAGGACUAGCUGGAGGAAAGGAAGGCCCAAUGAUCCAUUCCGGUGCUGUGGUAGCUGCUGGUAUCUCGCAGGGGAAAACGAGUACCUUUAAUAAAGACUUCAAAGUCUUUAAAUACUUUCGAGAGGACCACGAAAAAAGAGAUUUCGUAUCAGGCGGUGCAGCUGCUGGUGUAUCAGCUGCCUUUGGAGCUCCAGUCGGUGGAGUAUUAUUUAGUUUGGAGGAAGGAACCAGUUUUUGGAACCAGAGUUUGACGUGGAGGACCUUUUUCGCUUCAGUCGUUUCCACGUUUACGCUUAACGUGGUCCUUUCGGCUUACCACGGAGCGCCAGGCAAUUUCAAUUAUCCAGGAUUGUUAAAUUUAGGAAAGUUCGAGGCUUUUAGUUACGAAUAUUACGAAUUACCUAUCUUUCUGAUCAUGGGCUCCUUGGGCGGCUUAUUCGGGGCCUUAUGGAAUCAUAUCAACUAUAAAAUUACUGUGUUUCGAAUGAGAUAUAUUCGUCCUAGAUGGAUGAAAGUAAUCGAAGCUUGCAUUGUUGCCGCUGUUAGUGCCACUGUAGGAUUUUUAAUGAUGUUCACCAUCAACGACUGCAAACCUUUGGGCUCAGAUCCCACGAGAUAUCCCACACAGUUAUACUGUCUAGACGGCCAAUACAACGUCCUGGCCAGUAUUUGGUUCCAAACACCGGAAGCCUCCGUCCGGUCUUUAUUCCACGAUCCACCAAAUACACAUAACGCAAUUUCGCUAGCCUCAUUUGUAAUCAUAUACUUUUUCCUCGCCUGCUGGACAUUCGGAUUGUCCACUUCCAACGGACUCUUCAUUCCGACCUUACUUACGGGAGCAGCAUGGGGAAGGUUGGUUUCCAUUGGAAUCUAUUACGUAUUUCCGAACGUGGGUCUCAUUCAUCCAGGAAAAUAUGCCUUAAUCGGCGCAGCAGCUCAAUUAGGCGGUGUGGUACGAAUGACCAUCAGCUUGACUGUGAUAAUAAUGGAGACUACCGGAAACAUUUCUUUUGCUCUUCCACUUAUAAUCACUCUCAUUGCUGCUAAGUGGACGGGAGAUUUUUUCAAUGAGGGCAUUUACGACAUACUUAUCCAACUGUGGGGUAUUCCCCUUCUACCGUGGGAACCCCCACCGCUCGUUCAUAAUAUAUACGCCAGUGAAGUCAUGUCACAUCCAGUAGUAACAUUAAAAUGUGUCGAAAAUGUCGGGCACGUCGUCGAAUUGUUAAAAUUGACCACUUACAACGGAUUUCCUGUUGUGGAUCCACCUUUAACAGACCAGAAUGAAGUAACCACGUACGGACGUAUCAGAGGAAUAAUUCUUAGGUCUCAGUUGGUGGUGAUCUUGCAGAAGAAAAUUUUUAACGAAACAGUUGAUGUUUGGUACAAUAUUAACCCAUCCUUGUUUCGAGAUUCUUAUCCGAGGUACCCAACCAUAGAGGAUUUAGAAUUAACUGACGACGAAAAAACAUGUUCGAUGGAUCUUAGGCCGUUUAUGAACCCAUCUCCUUACACAGUUUUACAUUCUUCCUCGCUGCCAAGGAUGUUCAGGCUGUUUAGAGGUCUUGGACUGCGCCAUUUGCCAAUUGUCAAUGAUACAAAUGAGGUGGUUGGUAUGGUGACCAGGAAAGAUUUAGCUCGAUACCGAGUAUGGAGGCAUAGGGGCCACAUGGGGGUAGAAGAAUUGUUUAUUUCCAAAGAGGUUUAGAUUUAAAGGCUGUUGAAUCUUAUGAAGUAUUAACAGAACAAUAGGAAAUUCUAUUUUUAUAUUGAGAUGUAUCUAUUUUUAGCUUUUCAACCAGCGACUUUCCAAAGAAGUGAUGGUCAGAUGUGCAUAUUAUUUAUAUAGGAAGAUUUUUUUUACGUUACAGUGAUAUACAAUUGCGAUGAGAUUUAUAUGAAAUGAACAGUGGGUUUUUAUAUAAAAUAAGUAUGACAAUACUUGGAUUAACACGUUGGCUGCCGUAAGACACAAAUGUUGUAUCUAAUGUUGUUGUUGAUAACAGCCGCGUGACACACCGUAGUUGUCUCAAAAGCAUAGAAACGGGCAAUUCAUAUGCAUAAUAUUAUGGCAGCCAAUGUGUUAAUCUUAAUUAAGGGAUCUUAAAACUAUUAAGUAUACCGUGACAAUUUUGUUUAUUUUUAUGUCUUUUUAAUAUUGUUUCAGAUUUUGAUAAAAUAAUACCAGACAAUAAAUGCAUACACAUUAUGUCAAUACGUACAAACAACUCAUUUUUAUACAUGACUAACAAAUUUUACCAUAAUUUUCUCAUGCAAGCUUUACGAACCUACCACAUUUAAGCCUGGAUCCCGCGUACCAAAAAAAGUUGAUUAAUAGCAAACUGAAAAUUUGUUAAUAGCUUAACGGUGUCUAGACGUACAAAGAAAAAAUGUUUGUCCGACAAAUAUGUUGGGCAUUUUACUAAGUCCGACACGUAGAACAUGCCAAACGACAGGAUUUAUGUUGGUGGUAAAUACCAGUCUUAUUUUUGCAUGAGAGUUUGAUGAAAGGGUAGCAAAUCAAUUGGAAGUUCUGUCCGACAAAAUACAGGGGAUGUUUUUGUAGUCUGAAGUUCGAAACCUGUAACCUGUUCCAGUGUUCCCGUACAUCAAGGUUUAUCCGACUAGACACCGUUAAGCUAUUAACAAAUUUUCAGCUUGCUAUUAAUCAACUUUUUUUUGGUACGCGCGAUCCAGGCCUAUUAUCAACAAAUGUUUCUUCACCUCGUUAGUAUAGUACGUCUUUUAAAAAGUAUGUGGAAAUUUUAGAAAUGUUUCCUAUAUCUGGAGGUUCGACAUUACAGGGUGAUUCAUUAAGAAUUUCCAAUCUCUGAGUUGUAAAUUCUAACCUCAAUAUAUUAAGAUUUAACCCAAAUUGCUUAGAUAAAAUAUGCCUCGUUACUAAGUUACAGGGUGUUUUAUUUAAAAAUUUAAUAAGUAUUUUUACCCAGUACUUUAAAACUAUUUGACAUAUCCUUGUCAUACUUUUCAGAAAGUGUAGUUACCGUACACCCUACUAAAUUAUGAUAAUCAAACGUUUCUGGCUACUACCAGAGGAGUACGACAGGGGACAGUGAAUGGUUUACCCUUCCCAAAUUCUACGCCACUGGCGAAAUUGCUAUUUUGGCACAAUAUUCUACAAUACUUUCUAGAUAAAUAAUUUCCUCUUUAUUCGUAACGAUAAAGUCAUUAGUUUUCGAGAUAUUUGAACUUGAAAAUGAAACGGCAGAGCCAUUUUGAUUAAUGUAUUGUGCCCCUUCACUUUUAACUUCAAAUAUCUCGAAAACUAAUGAUUUUAUCGGUACGAAUGAAGAGUAUAUUAUUUACAUAGAAAGUAUUGUAGAAUCUAAAAAUUAUGCUAAAAUAGCAAUUCUAUCAGUGGUGUAGAAUUUGGGAAGGGUCAACCAUUCACUUUCCUCCGUACGCCUCUGGUAGUAGACAGAAAUGUUUAUUUAACAUAUUAAUAGGAUUUAUUUAGCUUUUUAGCUAUUACAUUACAAAUAAACAUUUACAUAUAUUUAAAUAACUAUAACUUAAAAACGAAAAAUCAACUAAUUCUUAAAAUACAAUUUUUUUAACCUACUUUUGAAGACUUUAACAUUUGGUGAAUCUUUUAUGCUAGAUGGUAGACUGUUAUAUAUUCUUAGUCCUUCAACAAAAAGAGUUUUUUCCAUGGCACUUGUAUUGAACCUUUUAAUAUGAUAAUUAUCAAAUCUUAAAUUAUACUGACCUAACAAAAGUGAUCUUUUAAUGACAUAAUUAUUGAAGUAUUGAGGAGCUUGCUUGUUAAUAAUUUUAAAUAUUAACACCAAACAUGACUCAGUAAUAAGCUGAUUAACAUCUAAAAAAUUUAAUGUUUCCAGCAUAAAGUUUAUAGAGGUAUACUUGCUACAUCCAAGGACGAUUCUCAUAGCUUUAUUUUGAAGCAACUGCAAACGAUAUACCUGUUCAUUUGAACAUGAAAUAAACAGUGACAUACAAUAAUUAAAAUGCGGAAAUAUUAUUGUAUUAUACACAACCUUCCUAGACCAUCGGGAAAGCCCUUUAGAUAUUCUAGAGAAGUAACCGAUUUUUUUACCAAUUUUUUUACACAGAAAAUUUAUAUGUUUGGUAAAAUUUAACUGUGGAUCAAAUAAAAUUCCAAGAUAUUUAAUUUCAUCUACAUAGCUUAUUAUAUCUUCACCUAUUUUAAUACUAAAAUUUCCUUGAUUAAAUUUAGAACAAUUUAUCUUAGUACCCAAAAUCAUACACUUAGUUUUUUGAGCAUUUAGUUUCAAUUUAUUUGCCAUCAACCAAUUAUUAAGAAUAUCUAAUUCAUCAUUUAUUGUUUGAACUAAAUUAUUAAAAUCUUGUCCAGAGACAAAUUAAUUAUCAUCUGCAAACAGAUUUACAAAUGAAUGUUUAAGAUAGAGAUGUAGAUCAUUUAUAUAUAAAACAAAUAAUAAUGGUCCAAGAACGCUUCCUUGGGGAACUCCAUAUAUAGUACCUAUUUCGUCUGAAAUAUUAUUAUUUACUUUAGUUUUUUGACAUCUACCGUUUAGAUAAUUUUCUAGCCAUUAACAUAUAUUAAUUGCGUGUGCAGUAGCUACACUUUUUGGCAAGUAUGAUAAAGGUAUUUAAAUUACUUUUAAGGUACUGAGUAUAAAUAAUUUUUAAAUCAAACAUCGCUAUUACAUAAAUAUUAACUAUUUGUAUCUAGUACUUUAAAAGUAUUUGACAUAUCCUUAUCAUACUUAGCAGAGAGUGUAGGUACUGUACACCUUACUAAACACUGUUAAAUAAACCUUUCUGGAUACUACCAGUGGCGCACGACAGGUGAAAGUGAAUGGUUGACCCUUCCCACAUUCUACGCCACUGGCGGAAUUACUAUUAGUGCAUUUUUUCGAUUCUCCCAUACUUUCUAUGUAAAUAAUAUACUCUUCAUUCGUACCGAUAAAAUCAUUAGUUUUCGAGAUAUUUGAAGUUAAAAAUGAAGGGGUACAAUACAUUAAUCAAAAUAGCUCUGUCGUUUCAUUUUCAACUUCAAAUAUCUCGAAAACUAAUGACUUUAUCGUUAAGAAUAAAUAGUGUAUUAUUUACAUAGAAAUUAUUGGAGAAUCGAAAUAUUGCGCUAAAAUAGCAAUUCCGCCAGUGGCGUAGAAUUUGGGAAGGGUAAACCAUUCACUGUCCCCUGCCGUACGCCCGAAACGUUGAUUUAACAUAAUUUAGUAGUAUGUACAGUACAAAAAUUUUCUGCCAAUUAUGACAAGGAUAUGUCAAACAGUUUUAAAGCACUGGGUAAAAAUAGUUAUUAAAUUUUUAAAUAAAACACCCUGUAACUCUGUAACGAGCCACAUUUUAUUUAAGUGAUUUGGGUUAAAUCUUAAUAUUUUUAGAAUAUACAUCUCAUGGACAUUCUUAAUGAAUCACCCUAUUUAUGUUGUCGUGAUACUAUUGAUGAACGAUAUUUUCUAAAAUACUUCUUUUUGUCUCCGAAUGAUGUCAUCUUCAGUGACAACUGAUAGCAGGAGUAGGUUCAUCAGAACGUUAGCUCACUGAACAGAUGUCUUCACACAGUGUUUUGGCAGUUGGAUAUGCAGGAACCAAGAAGAAGCUCCGAAAGAAGAUGUUAGACCACUGAGCUGAUUUCGUCAUACAGUCAUUUGUAGGAAGCUGCCAAAAAGAUUGGUAAAGAUAAUUUUACGGCAAAUAUUGAAAAUAUUCUUUAAACUCUCACAUUUUUGUCUCCAAAUUUCCUCUUCGGUGACAAUUGACAGCAGUAGUAGUUUCUGCGAGACGUUAGCUCACUGAGUUGAUCUCUGAACUGUACACUCUUGUACAGUUUUUUAGCAGUUGGAUGGAUAUUAACCCAUUAUCGCCGAGAAAAUUUUUUUGUUUUCGACAAAAUUUAUUAAAAAUCGUUAAAUGUAACAGUAUUCUGUACAAAACGUAACAAGAAUUUUUUUUGUAAAUAAAAUAAUUAUUGAGAAAAAAACUGUUCCCAUAUGGGACUACCAGGCGCGAACCCGAUAGAUGUUCGUUAAGAGUUACUUGGUAAGAAAAUUGCGAACAGUCAAUACAAAGGACCACGUCAUAUUUGCAGCACAUUGUUCCCCCUCAACUUAAAAAUCCAAUCCGUGCGCAUCUUCUUCUUUUGUUUUCUGGUACAGAAACCACAAAAUAUUUAAUCUCUCGUACCAAAUAUCUCCAAUUCGAUAGUCACUUCUUGCAGCUGUGGACACCCUUCCUGGUGGUUUUGGUGGGAUUUUAUAUCUUAUUAGAUACAUUUGGAUAAUUGCCCGUGUAAAUUACAAUUGGCUAAUGGUACGACCAGAUUUCCUAUACAACUUCCAUGCAUUUUUAAUGUUCGCGUCCAGUAGGUAUGUAAAAUAGGCCAAUACCAUUUUUUGGAACGGAUUCCAAUUCGAUAGCAAGAUAAAUCGCUAACCAUCAAAUCAGUGCCACCCAUAUUAUUAUUCUAUUUUGAAAUAAUAUUUUAGACCUCGGAACAACAAUGUUUUUUAACCUGCCUUAAAAACUUUUUAACAGGUCUAGUUGGUGUAAUCUAAAAAGUUCUAACCAGCAUACUUUGAGUUAUCAGACUCUGGAAAAUCAUAUACUGUAGAAACCAAAUCCCUUUCUUAGCAAAAAUUUGCAUUUUGCUGCAGCGUGAACAUAAUUAGACCUCUAUCAGUUGGCGCAAGUGGAAUUGCUCUGCUAGUACGUGGUGGAUUCUUCUACGAUCGUGUCUUAAGCAAUGCUUUCGAUUCUAGUAUCAUUCGAAAAACAAUUUCCGCACCCGAAGACAGCUGGUUACGAUUUCGACUAUCAGUAAAACUUGCGUCAUCUUCAUCUGCCGAAUCUUCGUCUGUCAAAAUGUUUGGAGAUUCUAUGUAAACGGCAGAAACAUCUUUAUUACUUUCGUUUUCCUCGAAAGCUAUAUCAAGAUCUUAUUUCAAAGAAAUUCCUCAAAAAUAAGAAAAGUAAAAAAGAAUAGUGAAAACAACAUAUUCAGUAAACCGCCUAGCGGUUCCAUUUGGAAACACCCAUAUUUUUGGCCUAAUUACGAAAAAACCAAAAGAUGAAAUAUCAUGAAAACCCGUACAAGGUAUUUAUUAAAGUUUGUAGAAAAUCUUUUGAAAAUAAAAACGAGGAUCCUAGUGCAAAAAGUAAUAAAUAAAAUACACGAAACGAAUGACCAUAUUUUGCCACAAACAAAACGAACCGUAAAUUAAAAAAUUUAUUACACUGGAAAAUAGGUAUAAAACUAAAUUUGAAUUGCUCAUUCAAGAAGAGGUAACCUUGAACUACAAAUAGGCCGAAUCUCUCUGCGAAAUUUUACCUAACAAUAUGGUAAAUAGUUGGGUAAAUAGUUAAUGGGUUAAGCUACCAAAAAGGAUUGGGAAAGAUAAUUUUAUGGCAAAUGUUGAAAGUAGUCUUCGAAAUGUCACAUUUUGUCUUCAAAUUUCCUCUUCGGUGUCAACUGACAGCAAGAAUAAAUCCCACAGAAUGCUAGCUCACUGAGCUGAUAUCCUCAUACAGUUUUUUUGGCAGUUGGAUAUGCAGAAAUCAAGAGGAAGCUUUAAAAAAAAUAUGUUAACUCACUGAGCUGAGUAUUUCACUUCGGUUAACACUGACAGCAAUAGUAGUCUCAACCAGACGUUAGCUAACUGAGCUGAUGUCCUCAUGCAGUGCUUUAGCAGUUAAUUGCACACCAAUGCUAUUUAUAAUUUCCAUAAAUAUAUUCUCCCUAAUAGUAUGAAUAAGAACAAAGUUCCACCUACUUUCUAGGCUAUAUUAUAUUGUUUAGGUUUGAUGUAUAUUUUCCUUAAAUGAGUUACUGUUACCAUACGUAUUUAGGUAUGAUAAUUUUGUGAUAUUUUAGUUAAGCCUCAAUUUUUUUAGACAAAUUUAAAUUUUAAAGGUCAUUUAAUGUAUUUAGUGAUUUUUUUGUGUCCCCUUAGCUGGAUUGUAGAAGUUUCGCUACAGAUUAAAAGUUCACAUUUUAUUUCUAUUAUCUAUAAAAACAGUUCUCGAAUAUUUUAUUUAGUUAUAGGUAUUUUGUGGUGCCCCUGUAGCUAAAAUGGUAUGAGUUUGGCUAAUAAUUCAAAUGGUCUAUUAUUGUUAUAGUUACGUACAUGGAAUUAGUAGAAAGAAAAUACUUAACAAUUUAAAAAAUUCGUCUUUCUUCUUUUUUUCCUAUUAAAUUUGCCCCAUACCUAAAGAAGAUAUCUGCCUCUGACAUCUCUGAAAGUUUUUUACUAUUAUUUUUACGCUUUUAACAGAAUUUUUUUUAUUUUUUAAGUUAUAACCUGGUUACUUAUUUUUUAUGGUCACCUUGUACCUGAACUAAAUACAUUAAAUGAUUCUAUGAAAACCGAAUUAUACUAUGUAUUUACGUUUUUCCUAUAUCAGUCACCAACGGUUUAAAAACGGUAAAUUUGUUACAGAUCAAAUGUAAAUUUACACGGUUUGAUUAUACGAGGGUGGUCUGAUUAAUUUUUUCGUGGAACUUACAAUACAUAUAACCACGCUGUUUUUUUGGCUUCACAUUUAUGACAGACGUUAUGUGUUGGAUAACGUAUGUUAAAACCGCAAGAAAAUUGUUCUAAUGUAACCCUACUUUUACGUCAAACCACCUCGUAUAUGCUUACCAUAGACAUAUAUAAUACCUAGACUGCCCACUGCAAUUUAAAAUUGUUCCCCCAGUGGGAUGGAGAAAAAUGACUGCAAACAGUGUAUGCAUCUCUUUCUGAUUGGCGGGCUUUAUCAAAUCGGCGGCAGUGAGAAAGUCACGUAGUCGAUAAACCCAACGUCAUUGGAUAAACUCCGUCGAUUAGAAAGAGAUGCCUACCCUAGGUAUAACAUUUUCCCCCGUCGCGGUCGCACUGAGGGAACAGUUUUAGUUUGCAGCGCGAUGCCUAGGUACCUACAUAUUAAGUUUGUUCUAUAGUUGAUUUUUUAACCAAGAGGAGUAAACUAAAAAGACAGAUUCACACCCAAGAAAGUUACUAGAAAAGUCACCAAAUUCAUCUUCUUUUUUCGUUGAUCAUAUCAGCUUUCGAUGAUAAUCCAUACAUCUUAUUGGGACCGUGCAAGCUCGGCAAAGCGACCUCUAUUUCUACGCUCUGUACUUUUAUUCGCACUUUUAAUUAUAUUGGCCAAUUAUAUUAGUCCUGGUUGCUGGAUAAUUGUCAAGGCCAUAGUCCAAAAAAAUAAUAAGAAGAAAAAAUAAGAUGCAGGUUAUGUUAUGCAAACGUAAACAAUUGUAUGUAGUAAAUAAAAUUAGUUAUUAAAAUACAGUACUGCAAGCAAAAAUACAAUUGAUUAAAUUUACCUUUAUAUAAUAAUUGCAUAUCAUAUCAAUAUUGUGGAGCAAUAUAUAAUUUUUCUGCUUCAAUGACAGAAGGUAUGAAAUAUACGUCAAUUUGACAAUUUCAAUUGACAAUAUGAAUUAUUUAAGAUAGUUUCAAUAUUUCUCCGCGACUCGCGCACGGUCGUUUCUCGUUUCCCUUCCAAGUACUUGCACACCGCGAAUAUUAUACUAACACAUCGCUAAAGAGUUCUAAAAACAACUGUUUUUAUAUAAAAGUAGACUAAAAAUCUAAAAAUUAAAGGAAUAAUGCAGAAAACACAAAAAAUCGUCGAUAUACUUAAUUAACCUAUAAAAUGACAGAAGUGCCAAAAUUUCAUAAAUGUCAUUAGUGUCAAAAUUUAAUAACAGUGAAGUAAACUUGCCUGCGGUUGGACCAAUUAGAAACAAGCAUUACGGCGCGGUAAAUUUGAAUCACUCCUCUUGGUUAAAAAACAAACAAUAGCAUGUAGUUUGGUAUUGUUUGACUCCAGAUUAUUAUACUGAUUUCCAGCGCAUGUUCAAUCCACAAACUGUUUUUGUUAGAACGCUUUUUUAUCAGAUAAAAUACCAACGUCGAAUAUCAAAUAAAAUUUCUGUUCUGUUUAUUAUAAUUUUGAGGUUAGAUUAGAAAUAUAUUUUUCUUAUAAGUAGUAAAUAAUGGUAAGUAAUAGUCAAAACAUAUUACUUUCAUUUAAAAUGUAUAAACCUCAAACAAAUAAUUCCACUGCGCAAGUCACAAACUGAAAAUCCGAACAAAAUCCACAAACUCUUUUGACUGUUUCAAGCCAAAGUUUGAAAGUUUUGUUUGAAAGUUUUCAAAUCAAAAUUUACUUUCGUCAGAAAAGUCGACAUAGGGCCGGUUGUUCGAACGCUAAUCAAAAAAUUGAUUAUAAUCAAGUCCUUUAACAACCAUCAAAUAACAAAAUCCGUUGUUCGUACGCCAAUCAGUUGAUUAUAAUCAAUUAUGUUAAUUAUUAUCAUUAUAAUUAACAUAAUUUAUUGAUUAAUGACAUAAUUGAUUAAUUAACAUAACAAUUAUUAACAUAAUUGAUUAACUAAUCAAUUAAUCUCAUAAUUGUAAACAAUUAUGUUUUGAACUGUCAAUGUCAAGUUGACAUUGACAGUAAUUAAAUAUUUGAUAAUGAUCAGUUGAUUCCAAUUUUGAUUAGCGUUCGAACAACCGGCUCUAGUAGUUUCAAACUAGUAAUGUGUAUGAUUGAACGCCAUCAAACAAAUGCGCAUGCUUCUGAUAAUUUCAAACCGUUUGAAACUGAUGCUAGAACAAACCUAUUAUAGUCUAUGAUGCUUACAGUAUUAUUAACCGUUUAUAACUCUGUAACUGUUUUAAAUCGAUAUUUUUAUAAUUUAUUAUUAUUUUAAUCGUUUUUACUUUAAUUUUUUUGCAAACUGUACAAGUAACACAAAUGUUCAAGCCAAUGCAGUUUUCAAACCAACUGUCUACUCCAAAGGUAGUCCUAGUAAAUAUUUAAGUAUCAAAACAGUUUAUAUUUAUUUCAUUUUUGUCAUUUUUAGUUUUAUUAUGUAUUAAAUAUUUACGAAUUGUUAAAGGUUUAUGCGUAUAGCUCAAUAUAUGGUUUUUUUUAUA